rnacentral:rRNA from 1 species
GAUGAACGCUGGCGGCGUGCUUAACACAUGCAAGCCGAACGAUUGAAGCUGGAGCUUGCUCCGGCCGAUUUAGUGGCGGACGGGUGAGUAACGCGUGGGUAACCUGCCUCAUACAGGGGGAUAGCAGUUGGAAACGACUGGUAAAACCGCAUAAGCGCACGGUGUCGCAUGACACAGUGUGAAAACACUCCGGUGGUAUGAGAUGGACCCGCGUCUGAUUAGCUAGUUGGUGAGGUAACGGCCCACCAAGGCGACGAUCAGUAGCCGGCCUGAGAGGGUGAACGGCCACAUUGGGACUGAGACACGGCCCAAACUCCUACGGGAGGCAGCAGUGGGGAAUAUUGCACAAUGGGGGAAACCCUGAUGCAGCGACGCCGCGUGAGUGAUGAAGUAUUUCGGUAUGUAAAGCUCUAUCAGCAGGGAAGAUAAUGACGGU